GCCCCUGUGGCUCAAUGGAUAGAGCGUUUGGUUGCGGACCAAAAGGUUUCAGGUUCAAGUCCUGACAGGGGUA
rnacentral:tRNA from 1 species